rnacentral:lncRNA from 1 species
AGUAUCAAUCAAAGGCUCCCGGACCAGUUGGAUGGCCAUGUCCAGGAACUGGGGAGCUAACUGGCAGUCUAAUGCCUAUCUCAAUGGCCAGUCUCUGUCCUUCAAGGUCACCACCACUGAUGGAGUGACCCAAGAAUUCGACAAUGUUGUGCCUUCAGAUUGGGGGUUUGGUCAGACCUUCUCUAGCUCAGUACAGUUUUAAGCCAAGAAAGCUGCUUUGGGGUUCAGGGUUUCGGGUUUUCAUUGGCAGAGGCGUGCUUACUAUUUUAAUGAAGCAGC